rnacentral:rRNA from 1 species
CCUACGGGUGGCAGCAGUGGGGAAUAUUGCACAAUGGGGGAAACCCUGAUGCAGCGACGCCGCGUGAGUGAAGAAGUAUUUCGGUACGUAAAGCUCUAUCAGCAGGGAAGAAAAUGACGGUACCUGACUAAGAAGCCCCGGCUAACUACGUGCCAGCAGCCGCGGUAAUACGUAGGGGGCAAGCGUUAUCCGGAUUUACUGGGUGUAAAGGGAGCGUAGACGGCAGCGCAAGUCUGGAGUGAAAUCCCAUGGCUUAACCAUGGAACUGCCUUGGAAACUGUGCAGCUAGAGUGCAGGAGAGGUAAGCGGAAUUCCUAGUGUAGCGGUGAAAUGCGUAGAUAUUAGGAGGAACACCAGUGGCGAAGGCGGCUUACUGGACUGUAACUGACGUUGAGGCUCGAAAGCGUGGGGAGCAAACAGGAUUAGAUACCCCAGUAGUC